GACGAACGCUGGCGGCGUGCUUAACACAUGCAAGUCGAACGGAAAGGCCCUGCUUUUGUGGGGUGCUCGAGUGGCGAACGCGUGAGUAACACGUGAGUAACCUGCCCUUGACUUUGGGAUAACUUCAGGAAACUGGGGCUAAUACCGGAUAGGAGCUCCUGCUGCAUGGUGGGGGUUGGAAAGUUUCGGCGGUUGGGGAUGGACUCGCGGCUUAUCAGCUUGUUGGUGGGGUAGUGGCUUACCAAGGCUUUGACGGGUAGCCGGCCUGAGAGGGUGAACGGGCACAUUGGGACUGAGAUACGGCCCAGACUCCUACGGGAGGCAGCAGGGGGAAAUAUUGCACAAUGGGCGGAAGCCUGAUGCAGCAACGCCGGGUGCGGGAUGACGGCCUUCGGGUUGUAAACCGCUUUCGCCUGUGACGAAGCGUGAGUGACGGUAAUGGGUAAAGAAGCACCGGCUAACUACGUG
rnacentral:rRNA from 1 species